UGACAUGUUUUAAAUGAAAAUGAAAAGUUAAUGGUUGCCAGGCACUCCACCGCGUAGCCUGCGUGCUUCUAACGAUAGCACCAGCGAUCUAAUUAAAAUAAUGUGCGCACACAUAAAUAUACAUGCCUUGGAGAAGUAGGAGCUGCUGAUGAAAACGUGAUGGUACUGCGGGAAAAUCCAGGAAUCGCUGCUUUGAAUCAGGUUAUUUCUGCAAAAGUCCUUCCUCG
rnacentral:lncRNA from 1 species